UAAGAGCUGAAGCUCCAAUCUGGGGAAGAAAAAAAAAAUCUUGUGUGCCUGAAGGAAAUGGAAAUGGGGUGGGAAUUGGUAUCUGUGUCAUCCAGAAAGUCUGCUGGCUGACAGGGUAGGUGUCAGCAUUUUUACAGCAAAGUUCCCAGGGGAAUGCUGCUCUGGAGCAGAACUGCAGCUUCCCAGCAGGGCUGUGAGCUUUGCCAUCUCUUUGGGAUUCAGGAAUUGGCUGUCACUGCCUCGAAGUCUCUCAGACCAGGUUAAACACAAGCACCAUGUAAAGUGUGGCACCUGUAAAAUAUUUAUCCCAACCAUCUGGACCAGGUUGUGAAUCCUGACUCACUUUGAAUGUGUGAAUGGGGUAGGACUGGCAGAGCCCAGGGGACUCCAUGCGCUUAUGGAUAGUGGCAGGAAAAGACCCCUUCCCACAUGAGUAACACUCCAUUUUCCUCUGCCACCAGUGCAAGAUCAAUAUCUCUGGAAAAUGCUGCUUUAUUGCCUCAGAUGCCAAUCCAGGAUUCAAGGAAGGAGGUGGAGGUGGCAAGAAGGGCAGGACCAAAGAGGCCUCACAGAGCACCAAAUGAUCAUCCAUCACAGCCUCCUUAUCAGCACCACAACACCGUGAAUGAGCUAUUGAGCACAAUAAUCCAGAGCAACAUCUGAGUCAGGAAGUCUCUGCAUCUUUAAUUUCCAGAAACUGAGAGAAAACUAGGGGGCAAAUAAAAAAUACCACUGUCUUCA
rnacentral:lncRNA from 1 species